rnacentral:piRNA from 1 species
UGGCAUGCAGAUCUACUCACUUGUCGC